GGAGAUUGCCGUUGAAGAUGACGAUUGGGAGGGAAUUGAAAGAACUGAAUUGGAGAAGCUAUUUGAAGCAGCAGUGGAGAUUGUGAGGAUUCAUGAUAUCGAUGAUCCCAAAUUUAGCGGUGAAUUGAAGAUGCGGCUGAGCGGGCUACACAAGAUUGCUAUGGAGGGACCUUGCAGAGAACCGCCGCCAAUGGCUUUGAAGAUCUCUGCUCGAGCCAAAUGGAAUGCCUGGAAGCAGCUGGGGAA
rnacentral:misc_RNA from 1 species